GACGAACGCUGGCGGCGUGCUUAACACAUGCAAGUCGAACGGAAAGGCCCUUCUGGGUUCUCGAGUGGGGAACGGGAGAGUGACAGGAGGGUGUUCUGAACCGCCCUUUGGGAUAAGCAUGGCUACCUGGGACUAAUACCGAAUACGAUCAGCGGCUCCAUGGUCGUUGGUGGAGUGCUAUUGCGGUGUGGGAUGGGCCCGCGGCCUCGCAGUUUGUUGGUGGGGUAAUGGCCUACCAAGGCGACGACGGGUAGCCGGCCUGAGAGGGUGACCGGCCACACUGGGACUGAGGUACGGCCCCGGCUCCUAAGGGAGGCAGCAGUGGGGAAUAUUGCACAAUGGGCGCAAGCCUGAUGCAGCGACGCCGCGUGGGGGAUGACGGCCUUCGGGUUUGAAACCUCUUUCAGCAUAGACGAAGGGCAAGUGGCGGUAAGUGCAGAAGGAGGACCGGCCAACUACGUG
rnacentral:rRNA from 1 species